rnacentral:tRNA from 1 species
GCGCUGGGCUCAAUGGUGGAGCGCUCGCCUCACACGCGUGAGGCCCUGGGUUCCAUCCUCAGCACCACA